GAUGAACGCUAGCGGCAGGCCUAACACAUGCAAGUCGAGGGAGAAGCCUUUCGGGGCAGAAACCGGCGCACGGGUGCGUAACGCGUAUGCAACCUACCUUUCACAGGGGGAUAGCCCGAAGAAAUUUGGAUUAAUACCCCAUAAUAUUGUUUGAUGGCAUCAUUGGACAAUUAAAACUGCGGUGGUGAAAGAUGGGCAUGCGUCCUAUUAGCUAGUUGGAGUGGUAACGGCACCCCAAGGCUACGAUAGGUAGGGGUCCUGAGAGGGAGAUCCCCCACACUGGUACUGAGACAGGGACCAGACUCCUACGGGAGGCAGCAGUGAGGAAUAUUGGUCAAUGGUCGGAAGACUGAACCAGCCAUGCCGCGUGCAGGAAGAAUGCCUUAUGGGUUGUAAACUGCUUUUAUAUGGGAAGAAUAAGGUGUACGUGUACAUNGANGACGNUNCCA
rnacentral:rRNA from 1 species